AUUGAACACUGGCGGCAUGCUUUACACAUGCAAGUCGAACGGCAGCGGGGGCUUCGGCCUGCCGGCGAGUGGCGAACGGGUGAGUAAUGCAUCGGAACGUGCCCAUGUCGUGGGGGAUAACUACGCGAAAGCGUGGCUAAUACCGCAUACGCCCUGAGGGGGAAAGCGGGGGAUCUUUCGGGACCUCGCGCGAUUGGACCGGCCGAUGUCGGAUUAGCUAGUUGGUGGGGUAAAGGCUCACCAAGGCGACGAUCCGUAGCUGGUCUGAGAGGAUGAUCAGCCACACUGGGACUGAGACACGGCCCAGACUCCUACGGGAGGCAGCAGUGGGGAAUUUUGGACAAUGGGCGCAAGCCUGAUCCAGCCAUGCCGCGUGAGUGAAGAAGGCCUUCGGGUUGUAAAGCUCUUUCGGCCGGGAAGAAAUCGCAUUCUCUAAUAUAGGAUGUGGAUGACGGUACCGGACUAAGAAGCACCGGCUAACUACGUGCCAGCAGCCGCAGUAACAC
rnacentral:rRNA from 1 species